GUCCCUGUAGUGCAAUGUACAGUGCAUUGGACUUCUAAUACAAAGGUUGUGGGUUUGAAUUCCACCUGGGAUG